rnacentral:rRNA from 1 species
UCUACGGGAGGCAGCAGUGGGGAAUAUUGGGCAAUGGGCGCAAGCCUGACCCAGCAACGCCGCGUGAAGGAAGAAGGCUUUCGGGUUGUAGACUUCUUUUCUGAGGGACGAAGAAAGUGACGGUACCUCAGGAAUAAGCCACGGCUAACUACGUGCCAGCAGCCGCGGUAAUACGUAGGUGGCAAGCGUUAUACGGAUUUAUUGGGUGGAAAGGGCGUUGAGGCGGGAAAGCAAGUCAGAUAUGAAAACUCAGGGCUCAACCCUGAGCCUGCAUUUGAAACUGUUUUUCUUGAGUGCUGGAGAGGCAAUCGGAAUUCCGUGUGGAGCGGGGAAAUGCGUAGAUAUACGGAGGAACACCAGUGGCGAAGGCGGAUUGCUGGACAGUAACUGACGCGGAGGCGCGAAAGCGUGGGGAGCAAACAGGAUUAGAUACCCCUGUAGUC